rnacentral:misc_RNA from 1 species
AAGUAAAAGAGGUCCCAUCCUGGAACAGUGAGGAGGAUUUUAAGGCUGCUCUGAAAGAAGCUGGGCUGCUGUAAACAUCUACUGUCAUUCAGCUUGGCCAGUGCGCAAGCUUAUUUAGUCUCUUAGAGUUGCCGAUUUUGAUGGAGUGAUCUUAAAUCUCUUAAAAGAGUUGCAGAUUUUGUCAGUGAUACCUGUUAUUUGUGCCCAAGUCAUCCAUUCUAUAAUGAUGCCCUUUGUGUAUUGAAAAUAGUUUACUUGAUGAAACUUUGUGUCUAUUGAAAAUUAUAAUAAAUGAUAAUG